GGGGAGAUACUCAAGCGGCCAACGAGGACAGACUGUAAAUCUGUUGGUUCAUACCUUCGCAGGUUCGAAUCCUGCUCUCCCCA
rnacentral:tRNA from 1 species